UACGUAGGGUGCGAGCGUUAAUCGGAAUUACUGGGCGUAAAGCGUACGUAGGCGGACCGUUAAGUCGGGGGUGAAAUCCCAGGGCUCAACCCUGGAACUGCCUUCGAUACUGGCGGUCUGGAGUCCGGGAGAGGUGAGUGGAACUCCUAGUGUAGAGGUGAAAUUCGUAGAUAUUAGGAAGAACACCAGUGGCGAAGGCGGCUCACUGGCCCGGUACUGACGCUGAGGUACGAAAGCGUGGGGAGCAAACAGG
rnacentral:rRNA from 1 species